rnacentral:rRNA from 1 species
UAGCCUACGGGGGGCAGCAGUGAGGGAUAUUGGUCAAUGGGGGAAACCCUGAACCAGCAACGCCGCGUGAGGGAAGACGGUUUUCGGAUUGUAAACCUCUGUCCUCUGUGAAGAUAAUGACGGUAGCAGAGGAGGAAGCCACGGCUAACUACGUGCCAGCAGCCGCGGUAAUACGUAGGUGGCAAGCGUUGUCCGGAAUUACUGGGUGUAAAGGGAGCGUAGGCGGGAUGUCAAGUCAGAAGUGAAAAUUAUGGGCUCAACUCAUAACCUGCUUUUGAAACUGAUAUUCUUGAGUGAAGUAGAGG